AAACCGUCAGUUAAUCAAACUCUGCAGCAAAAUGUGUCUUCAAACUGGAUAAAGUCAAUGUAUGAUAUAUUCUUGCAAUCCCAAACAUGGAGAAGCGUACGGACAGCAGAGCGUCAUACCUCGUGAAUGAAUUGAAUUGUUGUUGUUAGCAUCUGGAGCUAGCUGCGCUAACGGAUAUAAGGAUCUGUUUCUAGAACAAGGUCGAGGAGAGUCCUCUCCUGUCAGAUUGAGAGGCUCAGAUAACUACAGCUCAGUGAGGUGGACGAAGGAGAGCUGCCAGUGUGCAUGAAUAAACCCCAGCUGAGUGUCUCCACCGCCAUCCCGAUCUGCUGUGUCCUGUUUCCUCCCUGUGCACAACACCCCAUCACAUAAGAAACACAACGCAGAGUCCCAGGGUGUUUAGAGAGGCUACGGGACAUGUGGGUUACAUACACAUAUUUCCAAGACACAUAAAAUGAUAUCAUUAAUAUAGUUAUAAAAAACAACAGAAUAAAUCAGACAGACUGAAAUCAUUCCAAUUAAUGCUAUAGGACAGCAGAACAAAAGACAGUGUGAAAGGGGAGGGAUUAGUUAAAUAUGCAUGAAUACAAAGAAAAAU